UACGGAGGGUGCAAGCGUUAUCCGGAUUUACUGGGUUUAAAGGGUGCGUAGGUGGGUCUGUAAGUCAGUGGUGAAAUCUCCGAGCUUAACUCGGAAACUGCCAUUGAUACUAUAGGUCUUGAAUUAUCUGGAGGUAAGCGGAAUAUGUCAUGUAGCGGUGAAAUGCUUAGAUAUGAUAUAGAACACCAAUUGCGAAGGCAGCUUACUACGGAUUGAUUGACACUGAGGCACGAAAGCGUGGGGAUCAAACAGG
rnacentral:rRNA from 1 species